GAUGAAGAACGUAGUGAAAUGCGAUAAGUAAUGUGAAUUGCAGAAUUCAGUGAAUCAUCGAAUCUUUGAACGCACAUUGCGCCCGCCAGUAUUCUGGCGGGCAUGCCUGUUCGAGCGUCAUUUCAACCCUCAGGCCCACAGUGCCUGGUGUUGGGGAUCGGCAGCAGGGCGUCAAGCCCGCCGGCCCCGAAAUCUAGUGGCGGUCUCGCUGUAGUCCUCCUCUGCGUAGUAGCACAACCUCGCAGUUGGAACGCGGCGGUGGCCAUGCCGUUAAACACCCCACUUCUGAAAGUUGACCUCGGAUCAGGUAGGAAUACCCGCUGAACUUAAGCAUAUCAAUAAGCGGAGGA
rnacentral:misc_RNA from 1 species